rnacentral:rRNA from 1 species
ACGCUAUCACUCCUACGGGAGGCAGCAGUCGAGAAUCAUUCACAAUGGGCGAAAGCCUGAUGGUGCAACGCCGCGUGGGGGAUGAAGGGCUUCGGUCUGUAAACCCCUGUCAUCUGUGAGCAAACCUUUCGGGUUAACACCCUGGAAGCUGAUAGUAGCAGAAGAGGAAGGGACGGCUAACUCUGUGCCAGCAGCCGCGGUAAUACAGAGGUCCCAAGCGUUGUUCGGAUUCACUGGGCGUAAAGGGGUGCGUAGGCGGCAUGGAAAGUUUGGUGUGAAAGCUCCGGGCUCAACCCGGAAAUUGCACUGAAAACUAUCAUGCUAGAGGAUUGGAUGGGAGACUGGAAUUCUUGGUGUAGCAGUGAAAUGCGUAGAUAUCAAGAGGAACACCAGUGGCGAAGGCGAGUCUCUGGACAAAUCCUGACGCUGAGGCACGAAGGCUAGGGGAGCAAACAGGAUUAGAUACCCUGGUAG